rnacentral:misc_RNA from 1 species
GUAUUGUUUGUAAAGGUCCAAAAGACCCACAUCAACAUUCUAUUACAUUUUUGUGGAGUAUAUGCAAAAAAGCAUAGACUAGGAACCACAAGAAGAGCUGGCAUUCUGUGGCACAGCAAUUCUCUAAAAAUUUGAAGGAAAACAAAAAAAAUGCUUCCUCCAAAAAAGAGUUGUUCCACGUCUACAGAAGGUGCACAGGUGGUUGAAAUGGAAUGGGUGUGCACAUUGCCCCGGAGAGCCAGCAACAACCCAGCCAAGUUUCAUUAAUGAUCCUUCCGCAGGUUCACCUACGGAAA